rnacentral:rRNA from 1 species
UACGGGAGGCAGCAGUGGGGAAUAUUGCACAAUGGGCGCAAGCCUGAUGCAGCCAUGCCGCGUGUAUGAAGAAGGCCUUCGGGUUGUAAAGUACUUUCAGUCGUGAGGAAGGUGUUAAGGUUAAUAACCUUAGCAAUUGACGUUAGCGACAGAAGAAGCACCGGCUAACUCCGUGCCAGCAGCCGCGGUAAUACGGAGGGUGCGAGCGUUAAUCGGAAUUACUGGGCGUAAAGGGCACGCAGGCGGUUAAUUAAGUUGGAUGUGAAAUCCCCGGGCUUAACCUGGGAAUGGCAUUCAAGACUGGUUAGCUAGAGUCUUGUAGAGGGGGUAGAAUUCCAUGUGUAGCGGUGAAAUGCGUAGAGAUGUGGAGGAAUACCGGUAGCGAAGGCGGCCCCUGGACAAAGGCUGACGCUCAUGUGCGAAAGCGUGGGGAGCAAAC